rnacentral:rRNA from 1 species
CCUACGGGUGGCAGCAGUGAGGAAUAUUGGUCAAUGGCCGGAAGGCUGAACCAGCCAAGUCGCGUGAGGGACGACUGCCCUAUGGGUUGUAAACCUCUUUUAUAAGGGAAGAAUAAAUGCUACGUGUAGCAGGAUGCCUGUCCCUUAUGAAUAAGCAUCGGCUAACUCCGUGCCAGCAGCCGCGGUAAUACGGAGGAUGCGGGCGUUAUCCGGAUUUAUUGGGUUUAAGGGGUGCGUAGGCGGUGUUUUAAGUUAGUGGGUAAGCGUCGGGGGCUCACCUUGAUUUGCCAUUAAUACUGUACGGCUGGAGUGCAGACGAGGUAGGCGGAAUUAGUAAAGUAGCGGUGAAAUGCUUAGAUAUUA